ACUACGGGAGGCAGCAGUAGGGAAUAUUGCUCAAUGGGGGAAACCCUGAAGCAGCAACGCCGCGUGGAGGAUGAAGGUUUUCGGAUUGUUAACUCUUUUUGUUAGAGAAGAUAAUGACGGUAUCUAACGAAUAAGCAACGGCUAACUACGGGCAAGCACCCGCGGUAAUAAGGAGGGAGCAAGCGUUACUCGGAAUCACUGGGCGUAAAGAGCUCGUAGGCGGGAUAGCAAGUCAGAUGUGAAAUCCUAUGGCUUAACCAUAGAACUGCAUUUGAAACUGUGAGUCUAGAGGAUGGGAGAGGUAGGUGGAAUGCUUGGUGUAGGGGUAAAAUCCGUAGAGAUCAAGAGGAAUACUCAUUGCGAAGGCGACCUGCUAGAACAUAACUGACGCUGAUGCGCGAAAGCGUGGGGAGCAAACAGGAUUAGAUACCCCAGUAGUC
rnacentral:rRNA from 1 species